GUGGAGCCUGUCCCGUUGUAGAAGCUCGUCCGAAAUCCAUCCGCUAUGGAGAAGCUCGGUUGAAGUCUUCCUGUAAUAGAAGUUUGGAAGAAAUUCGUUUACAGUAGAGGCUCGAAUGGAAUUCGCUUACAGUAAAUAUCCAGAGUAGACCGCCUGCAGUGGGAGUUCGGCUCUCGCUGGAGCUCGAUUGAAAUCUGGAAGGCAGUCGACUGUCGUAGAAACUUGGAUGGAGUC
rnacentral:lncRNA from 1 species